GGGGGAAAAUUAAUUAAUUUAAUAAUUAAUAAAAGAAAUUUUUAUUUAAUAUAUUUUAAUGGGGGUUAAAGUAUAAUUAUAAGAAAAAAUUUGAAAUUUUAUAGUAAAUUAGUAUUGUAAAAGAAAUUUGAAAUAGGGGUGAAAAUUAAUUAGUUAAUAAGUAAAUUUUAUUUAUUGUAUCUUGUGUAUCAGAGUUUAUUAAAUAUUUUUUUUAUGUAAAAAAAUCUCGAAUUUAAAGGAGCUAAUUAAUUAAAAAAUUUAUUGUUUUAUAAAUAUUUUAAAUAAUUAAUUUGAAAUGAAAUGUUAAUCGUUUUUAAAUAUAUCUAGUUUUUUUAGAAAUAAGUUUAAUUUAUAAUUUUUAAUUAUAAUAUAUAUAUAUAUAUAUAUAUAUGCAAAAAUUAAAAAUUUUAKUUGAUAAUCUUUAAAUUAAAUUUUUAUAAUUAAUAAAUAUAUUAGUUAUUAAAAUUUUUAAAAUUUAUAUUGUUUAUAAAUUAUAUUUUUUUACAAAAAAUUUUAUAAUAUAUGUAUAAAAAAAAUUUUUAAUUAARAUUUAAUUUAUAAUAUUUGUAUAAUAUAUAUAUAUAUAUAUACAUAUAUAAUAUAUAUAUAUAUAUAUAUACAUUUGAAUAUUUAAAUAUAAUUUAUUUAAAAAUUAAAAUAAAAGGAAUUUGGCAAAAUUUUAUAUUCACCUGUUUAUCAAAAACAUGUCUUUUUGGAAAUAAUUUAAAGUCAAAUCUGCCCACUGAUUUAUUAAAGGGCUGCAGUAAAUUGACUGUACAAAGGUAGCAUAAUAAUUAGUCUUUUAAUUGAAGACUUGUAUGAAUGAUUUGAUGAAAUAUUAACUGUCUCUUUUUUAUAAUUAAAAAUUAAUUUUUUAGUAAAAAAGCUAAAAUUUUUUUAAAAGACGAGAAGACCCUAUAGAGUUUUAUAUUUAAUUUAAUUAUAAUUUUUUGUUAAUAUUAAAAUAAAAAUUAAUUUAAAUAUUUUAUUGGGGUGAUAAAAAAAUAUAUUAAACUUUUUAUAUAAUUAACAUUAAUUUAUGAAAAUAUGAUCCAUAAUUUAUGAUUAUAAGAAAAAAUUACCUUAGGGAUAACAGCGUAAUUUUUUUUUUUAGUUCAAAUAAAAAAAAAAGUUUGCGACCUCGAUGUUGGAUUAAGAUAAAAUUUAAAUGUAGAAGUUUAAAAUUUUUGAUCUGUUCGAUCAUUAAAAUCUUACAUGAUCUGAGUUCAAACCGGCGUGAGCCAGGUUGGUUUCUAUCUUUAGAAAAUUAAAAUAUUUUAGUACGAAAGGAUCAAAUGUUUAAAAUAAUUUUUAAUAUAUAUAUAUAUAUAUAUAUAUAUGUUUAUCUAUUU
rnacentral:rRNA from 1 species